rnacentral:rRNA from 1 species
AGCGAACGCUGGCGGCAGGCCUAACACAUGCAAGUCGAACGAACCUUUCGGGGUUAGUGGCGGACGGGUAAGUAACACGUGGGGACGUGCCUUUAGGUUCGGAAUAACUCAGGGAAACUUGUGCUAAUACCGAAUGUGCCCUUCGGGGGAAAGAUUUAUCGCCUUUAGAGCGGCCCGCGUCUGAUUAGCUAGUUGGUUGAGGUAAUGGCUCACCAAGGCGACGAUCAGUAGCUGGUCUGAGAGGAUGAUCAGCCACAUUGGGACUGAGACACGGCCCAAACUCCUACGGGAGGCAGCAGUGGGGAAUCUUGCGCAAUGGGCGAAAGCCUGACGCAGCCAUGCCGCGUGAAUGAUGAAGGUCUUAGGAUUGUAAAAUUCUUUCACCGGGGACGAUAAUGACGGUACCCGGAGAAGAAGCCCCGGCUAACUUCGUG